rnacentral:misc_RNA from 1 species
CCUCCUUUCUAAGGAUGAGUGAAAGUAAAAUUUCACUCUAAAUAAUAUACAUCGGUAAUGUUGACCGUCCUCAUUUCUCUUCUUAAAGUAAUGUUUCCUUCUUGUAGGGCCGGUAGCUCAGUUGGUUAGAGCACACCCUUGAUAAGGGUGGGGUCGAAAGUUCGAGUCUUUCUCGGCCCACCAAAAACCUAAAUGGGGGAUUAGCUCAUCUGGGAGAGCGCCUGAUUUGCAUUCAGGAGGUAGCAGGUUCGAUCCCUGUAUCCUCCACCAGGAAACAUUUAGUUAUUAAAAUUGUAAAUAAAAAUAAUUUAUAUCAAUAUCUAUAUCCGAACAUUAAAAGUUAUUAUUUAAUGUUCAAAAUAAAAAUUUGAUCACAAUAUAGAUNAAUUUUCUUUAAAAAGAAUUUUUUUCUGUGCAUAAAUCAAGCGUUUAAGGGCGUGUAGUGGAUGCCUUGGCACUGAAAGCCGAUGAAGGACGUGAUAUACUGCGAUAAGUUUCGGGGAGCUGUAUGUAAGCU